rnacentral:rRNA from 1 species
GAUGAACGCUGGCGGCGUGCCUAACACAUGCAAGUCGAACGGAGCUGCUUUGAUGAAGUUUUCGGAUGGAUUUAAAACAGUUUAGUGGCGGACGGGUAAGUAACGCGUGGGUAACCUGCCUCACACUGGGGGAUAACAGUUAGGAAUAGCUGCUAAUACCGCAUAAGCGCACAGUUCCGCAUGGAACAGUGUGAAAAACUCCGGUGGUGUGAGAUGGACCCGCGUCUGAUUAGCCAGUUGGCGGGGUAACGGCCCACCAAAGCGACGAUCAGUAGCCGGCCUGAGAGGGUGAACGGCCACAUUGGGACUGAGACACGGCCCAAACUCCUACGGGAGGCAGCAGUGGGGAAUAUUGCACAAUGGGGGAAACCCUGAUGCAGCGACGCCGCGUGAGUGAAGAAGUAUUUCGGUAUGUAAAGCUCUAUCAGCAGGGAAGAAAGUGACGGUACCUGAAUAAGAAGCCCCGGCUAACUACGUGCCAGCCGCCGCGGUAA